rnacentral:rRNA from 1 species
AAUGAACGCUGGCGGCGCGCCUAACACAUGCAAGUCGAACGAGAAACUCCGAGCUUGCUCGGAGGAGUAAAGUGGCGCACGGGUGAGUAACGCGUGGGUAACCUGUCCUUAAAUUCGGGAUAAUCCACCGAAAGAUGGCCUAAUACCGAAUGUCGUCCUGAGAGCUAUGGUUUUCGGGAUGAAAGCUGACCUCUUCAUGAAAGUUGGCGUUUAGGGAGGGGCUCGCGUACCAUUAGCUUGUUGGUAGGGUAAUGGCCUACCAAGGCUACGAUGGUUAGCUGGUCUGAGAAGAUGAUCAGCCACACUGGAACUGGAACACGGUCCAGACUCCUACGGGAGGCAGCAGUGAGGAAUCUUGCGCAAUGGGGGAAACCCUGACGCAGCGACGCCGCGUGAGUGAAGAAGGCCUUCGGGUCGUAAAGCUCUGUCAAGUGGGAAUAAAAUCCAGCGGUGAAUAGCCGUAAGGAUCUGAAGGUACCACUAGAGA